rnacentral:tRNA from 1 species
CGGUGUGCAACAGCUUUGGUUCAGCCCGACCGGUCUGGGGGACCGAAGGUCGGGAGUUCAAAUCUCCCCAGCCCGA